CAGCAAGGUGCUAUAUAUAUAUAUAUAUAUAUAUAUAUGUGUGUGUGUGUGUGUGUGUGUGUACACACACACACACACACACACACACACAAGU
rnacentral:miRNA from 1 species